UACGUAGGUGGCAAGCGUUGUCCGGAUUUAUUGGGUUUAAAGGGUGCGUAGGCGGUUUUAUAAGUCAGUGGUGAAAUACGGCAGCUUAACUGUCGAGGUGCCAUUGAUACUGUAAGACUUGAGUACUGAUGAGGUAGGCGGAAUUGACGGAGUAGCGGUGAAAUGCUUAGAUAUCGUCAAGAACACCGAUAGCGAAGGCAGCUUACUAAGGAGUAACUGACGCUGAUGCACGAAAGUGUGGGGAUCAAACAGG
rnacentral:rRNA from 1 species